GCAUCCAUGGCUGAAGGUUAAAGCACCCAACUCAUAAUGCGAAUCGUAGGUUCAAUUCCUACUGGAUGCA
rnacentral:tRNA from 1 species